rnacentral:tRNA from 4 species
GGCCCCUUAGCUCAGUUGGUUAGAGCACGCGACUCAUAAUCGCUUGGUCGUUGGUUCAAACCCAACAGGGGCCACCA